AACUUCUCAAAAGAAGUCGGCAACGAAUAACAGCUUGUCGGAGAAGAAGGAAUAGACCGUAAAUUUAACGAGUUCAGUCUCCCCAAAGACUCCUUCUUUACAUCCAAACUCAAAGCCGGUUUCGAUGGCUGUGACUUCGAUCUGAUUUCAAGCCUGAAGAAGAAUUAUUAUUCAGAAAUCCCAAUGAGUGUCUAGCAACAAUAUCUUCAGGGCUUCCCACACAGGGGUGGCGCCCUGGGACGGGCCUAACCCCACGCAGAAUCGGGACCGGUGAGGCUGCUUCGAGGCGCUCAAUAUGAAUAAACUGACCCAAUUGGAUCUUAUCACUAAGAAUCAGAUCAUCAUGUUCAUCAGGGAGAGAUACAUAGGUGGCAUGAGAGGAAUCAGAGACCUUGAGAUAGAAGCCUUGGUUUGGGAAUAACUCACCGCCGGCAAGCGCUGGAACAAUGCUCACAACUUGUAACAGUGAUGACCUGUGCUCUCCAGCAACCUUUAUGUCUGUGUUCAUGUGCUGCAGAAGCUUGAGGAGGACACCAGGAACAAGAUUGGCCAUGUUUGUUGGGGCCUUCAGUUUACAUUACACUGAAAACCCUGAUGUAGAAAUAUAGAAGACUUUAGAUGUGAACACGAAUAUCUUGCAGAAACUUUUAUAAGCUUGACAUCUUAAAUAUUUCUCACAACACGUUUUCCUCAA